rnacentral:rRNA from 1 species
UACGAAGGGGGCUAGCGUUGUUCGGAAUCACUGGGCGUAAAGCGCACGUAGGCGGAUGUGUCAGUCAGGGGUGAAAUCCCGGAGCUCAACUUCGGAACUGCCUCUGAUACAGCACGUCUUGAGUCCGAGAGAGGUGGGUGGAAUUCCUAGUGUAGAGGUGAAAUUCGUAGAUAUUAGGAAGAACACCAGUGGCGAAGGCGGCCCACUGGCUCGGUACUGACGCUGAGGUGCGAAAGCGUGGGGAGCAAACAGG